rnacentral:rRNA from 1 species
UACGUAGGCAGCGAGCGUUGUUCGGAAUUACUGGGCGUAAAGAGUGUGUAGGCGGUGCUCUAAGUUCGGUGUGAAAUCUCCCGGCUUAACUGGGAGGGUGCGCCGGAAACUGGAGUGCUCGAGCGUGGGAGAGGAAAGCGGAAUUCCUGGUGUAGCGGUGAAAUGCGUAGAUAUCAGGAGGAACACCUGCGGUGUAGACGGCUUUCUGGACCAUUGCUGACGCUGAGACACGAAAGCCAGGGGAGCGAACGGG